rnacentral:rRNA from 1 species
GACGAACGCUGGCGGCGUGCUUAACACAUGCAAGUCGAACGGAAAGGCCCUGCUUUUGUGGGGUGCCCGAGUGGCGAACGGGUGAGUAACACGUGAGUAACCUGCCCUUGACUUUGGGAUAACUUCAGGAAACUGGGGCUAAUACCGGAUAGGAGCUCCUGCUGCAUGGUGGGGGUUGGAAAGUUUCGGCGGUUGGGGAUGGACUCGCGGCUUAUCAGCUUGUUGGUGGAGUAGUGGCUUACCAAGGCUUUGACGGGUAGCCGGCCUGAGAGGGUGACCGGCCACAUUGGGACUGAGAUACGGCCCAGACUCCUACGGGAGGCAGCAGUGGGGAAUAUUGCACAAUGGGCGGAAGCCUGAUGCAGCAACGCCGCGUGCGGGAUGACGGCCUUCGGGUUGUAAACCGCUUUCGCCUGUGACGAAGCGUGAGUGACGGUAAUGGGUAAAGAAGCACCGGCUAACUACGUG